UACGUAGGGUGCGAGCGUUGUCCGGAAUUAUUGGGCGUAAAGGGCUCGUAGGCGGUUUGUUGCGUCGGGAGUGAAAACUUACAGCUUAACUGUGAGCGUGCUUCCGAUACGGGCAGACUUGAGGUAUUCAGGGGAGAACGGAAUUCCUGGUGUAGCAGUGAAAUGCGCAGAUAUCAGGAGGAACACCGGUGGCGAAGGCGGUUCUCUGGGAAUAUCCUGACGCUGAGGAGCGAAAGUGUGGGGAGCGAACAGG
rnacentral:rRNA from 1 species